rnacentral:rRNA from 1 species
CUCUUGACAUCCAGAGAACUUUGCAGAGAUGCUUUGGUGCCUUCGGGAACUCUGAGACAGGUGCUGCAUGGCUGUCGUCAGCUCGUGUUGUGAAAUGUUGGGUUAAGUCCCGCAACGAGCGCAACCCUUAUCCUUUGUUGCCAGCGGUUCGGCCGGGAACUCAAAGGAGACUGCCAGUGAUAAACUGGAGGAAGGUGGGGAUGACGUCAAGUCAUCAUGGCCCUUACGAGUAGGGCUACACACGUGCUACAAUGGCGUAUACAAAGAGAAGCGACCUCGCGAGAGCAAGCGGACCUCAUAAAGUACGUCGUAGUCCGGAUUGGAGUCUGCAACUCGACUCCAUGAAGUCGGAAUCGCUAGUAAUCGUAGAUCAGAAUGCUACGGUGAAUACGUUCCCGGGCCUUGUACACACCGCCCGUCACACCAUGGGAGUGGGUUGCAAAAGAAGUAGGUAGCUUAACCUUCGGGAGGGCGCUUACCACUUUGUGAUUCAUGACUGGGGUGAAGUCGUAACAAGGUAACCGUAGGGGAACCUGCGGUUGGAUCACCUCCUUACCUAAAGA